rnacentral:rRNA from 1 species
GAUGAACGCUAGCUACAGGCUUAACACAUGCAAGUCGAGGGGCAGCAUUUUAGUUUGCUUGCAAACUAAAGAUGGCGACCGGCGCACGGGUGAGUAACACGUAUCCAACCUGCCGAUAACUCGGGGAUAGCCUUUCGAAAGAAAGAUUAAUAUCCGAUAGUAUAUUAAAACCGCAUGGUUUUACUAUUAAAGAAUUUCGGUUAUCGAUGGGGAUGCGUUCCAUUAGUUUGUUGGCGGGGUAACGGCCCACCAAGACUACGAUGGAUAGGGGUUCUGAGAGGAAGGUCCCCCACAUUGGAACUGAGACACGGUCCAAACGUCCUACGGGAGGCAGCAGUGAGGAAUAUUGGUCAAUGGACGAGAGUCUGAACCAGCCAAGUAGCGUGAAGGAUGAAGGUCCUACGGAUUGUAAACUUCUUUUAUAAGGGGAAUAAAACCUCCCACGUGUGGGAGCUUGUAUGUACCUUAUGAAUAAGCAUCGGCUAACUCCGUG